UGGCGGGGGAGCACCACAAGGGGUGAAGCCUGCGGUUCAAUUGGAGUCAACGCCAGAAAUCUUACCCGGAGAGACAGCAGAAUGAAGGUCAAGCUGAAGACUUUACCAGACAAGCUGAGAGGUGGUGCAUGGCCGUCGCCAGCUCGUGCCGUGAGAUGUCCUGUUAAGUCAGGUAACGAGCGAGAUCCCUGCCACUAGUUGCUAUCAUUAUUCUCAGGAAUAGUGGGGCGAAUUAGUGGGACUGCCGUUGUUAAAACGGAGGAAGGAAGGGGCUACGGCAGGUCAGUAUGCCCCGAAACUCUGGGGCCACACGCGGGCUGCAAUGGUAGUGACAAUGAGUUCCAAACUCGAAAGAGAGUGGCAAUCUCCAAACACUACCACAGUUAAGACUGAGGGCUGUAACUCGCCCUCACGAAUAUGGAAUCCCUAGUAACCGCGUGUCAUUACCGCGCGGUGAAUACGUCCCUGCUCCUUGCACACACCGCCA
rnacentral:rRNA from 1 species